GCGGUACGCAGGCCUCUCACUGUUGUGGCUUCUCCCGUUGCGGAGCACAGGCUCCAGACCCACAGGCUCAGUGGCCAUGGCCCACGGGCCCAGCCGCACCGCAGCACGUGGGAACUUCCCGUACUGGGACACGAACCCGUGUCCCCUGCAUCAGCAGGUGGACUCUCAACCACUGCGCCACCAGGGAAG